rnacentral:rRNA from 1 species
UACGUAGAUCCCGAGCGUUGUCCGGAUUUAUUGGGCGUAAAGCGAACGCAGGUGGUUUAUUAAGUCUGGUGUAAAAGGCAGUGGCUCAACCAUUGUAUGCAUUGGAAACUGGUAGACUUGAGUGCAGGAGAGGAGAGUGGAAUUCCAUGUGUAGCGGUGAAAUGCGUAGAUAUAUGGAGGAACACCGGUGGCGAAAGCGGCUCUCUGGCCUGUAACUGACACUGAGGCUCGAAAACGUGGGGAGCAAACAGG